GGGAGGGAACACCACAGGGUGUGGCCUGGUAGGGUUCCUGGGUGGAGCUGACUAGUUGCAGGAGGAGGGGUCACUUCACCAUCCCCACUAACACCACAGCCCAAGAGUUGGUUAUUUGGUUCUGUCUCCAGCAGACACACAAGCACCAUGAAGAGGUUAUUGUGCUCUCUGCUGGGGCUUCUGUGCACCCGAGUUUGCUGGGUGAAGGGGCAGCAAGUGCAGCAGAGUCCUGUGUCCUUGGUUCUGCAGGAGGGAGAGAAAGCAGAGCUGCAGUGCACCUUUUCUACAACUUUCAACAGUGUGCAGUGGUUUUACCAACGUCCUGGGGGAAGCCUCGUCAGCCUGUUCUUCAAUCCUUCUGGAACAAAGCAGAGUGGAAGACUGACAUCCACGACAGUCCCUAAAGAACGAAGCAGCUCUUUGCACAUCUCCUCCUCCCAGACCACAGACUCAGGCACUUAUUUCUGUGCUAUGAAUCCACAGUGCUCCCCACACACCUGCAGCCUGUACACAAACAUUCAGCUGGGUGGGUGAGUGCCUAACCAGUUACAACACAUCAGGAAGACAUCACAGAAUGUCUGCCAGGGUUAAUAUCAUUUUUUUUGUAUUUAUAUUUGUAGAAUUUUAACUUCAGGUAAGCUUUGGCCCAGGAGGUUCAGGACUUUGGUUUUUAUCUUUAUUGUUCAAUACAUACUUCGUUCUGAGCCAUAAAUGUCCAUUCUAGAACUAACAGAGAAGCUGACAGGAGGAUUGAAUCAAUGUGAUCAUUUAAGCCACACUGCAAAAACAGCUGCUGUGCUCUCUGCUGGGGCUUCUGAGCACCCAGGUUUGCUGUGAGUCUGGCUGUCAGCAUUCAGGGCACCUGAGAGGAUCUGGCUCAGGAAAUGGAGAGGAGCUGAAACACAGCAGCUAAAGUGGACGGGGAAAGCACACACAGUCUCCAUUCUAGACAAUGAACUACUGGAAACCAGGAAUGCCGAAGGUGGGGAAAUGGUCUUUCCCUGAGAUGAGCACACCAAUUGGUUAUCCAAUACUGACUGGUCAGUCCUGAAGGCAUACAAUUAACAUAUGAACUGAAGAAGUUGCAUUUUUGUAUGGACGAAUAGACAUGUAUAUACAUACAUAUGUAACAGUAACAACAUUUAAUGACACAGACGCCAUACAUUUGAAAGAGCAGGGAGAAAUAGAUGGGCAGUUUGGGGAAGAGGGAAGGGAAGGAGGGUUGAUGUGAUUAUAUAUAAUCACCAAAACUAAGAGAAACAUAAAAAUUAGUGGAAAAGGUAUGUUUAUAAUUUAAUAAGCAUCAUUUGUACACGUGGUCUGUAUAAGGGGUAAAUAAAAUAUAACUCAUGUCAAAUUAAACCAUUUACUUAUUUUCUGAUGGUUUAAUAUAAGUAAUGCGCAUUUUCAUUUCCUCGUUUCUUAUGAGUGGUUUCUCUCAUUUUUCCAGAAGGAAGU
rnacentral:sRNA from 1 species